UUCAUACCAUACAAAAACAUAGACUGCUACAUAUUUACGCAUCCAAAUCGAAAUAAAAGCCCACUUUUCAAAGCAGUCAGCAUCAGAUCCCUGAAAUUGUGGUUUUCUACGUGCAACUAUGCCACAAUUGCCACUGAUAUGAGUAAUAGAGUGGCACAAAGAAAAAUGAUGCCAACUGCACCAAAGAAUAAGGUGGAAAAAAAUUAAUCAAUAAAUCAAAAAGGAAAAUUGAAAACUGAUCGAAAUGGUAGCGAGUAUACAAAUAUACGAACAUGCGAAUAUGCGAGCAUGACUGAAGUGAAAGUUGCAGCAGUGGCGCGCCGAGUUGUAUUAAAUUGAGCGGGCACAACACUGAACAUAUUGGUCGCUCCAUCGAAUGCCAAAUAUCAAAUGUCAAACACAUGCGGGCAAUGCAAACGUUAAAUUUAACUGCACCUUAUAUAUAUAUAUACAUAUACAGAUAUAUAUAUAUAUAUACAUAUAUAUGCAUGUACGUGUGUAUGUAAUAUGCAUUUGCAAUAUGCAAUUUUAGCCUUUGUGCCAUUA